AGAGUCUGAUGGAGCACGCCGCGUGAGUGAAGAAGGGUUUCGGCUCGUAAAACUCUGUUGUUAAAGAAGAACAUAUCUGAGAGUAACUGUUCAGGUAUUGACGGUAUUUAACCAGAAAGCCACGGCUAACUACGUGCCAGCAGCCGCGGUAAUACGUAGGUGGCAAGCGUUGUCCGGAUUUAUUGGGCGUAAAGCGAGCGCAGGCGGUUUUUUAAGUCUGAUGUGAAAGCCUUCGGCUCAACCGAAGAAGUGCAUCGGAAACUGGGAAACUUGAGUGCAGAAGAGGACAGUGGAACUCCAUGUGUAGCGGUGAAAUGCGUAGAUAUAUGGAAGAACACCAGUGGCGAAGGCGGCUGUCUGGUCUGUAACUGACGCUGAGGCUCGAAAGUAUGGGUAGCAAACAGGAUUAGAUACCCUGGUAGUCCAUACCGUAAACGAUGAAUGCUAAGUGUUGGAGGGUUUCCGCCCUUCAGUGCUGCAGCUAACGCAUUAAGCAUUCCGCCUGGGGAGUACGGCCGCAAGGCUGAAACUCAAAGGAAUUGACGGGGGCCCGCACAAGCGGUGGAGCAUGUGGUUUAAUUCGAAGCUACGCGAAGAACCUUACCAGGUCUUGACAUACUAUGCAAAUCUAAGAGAUUAGACGUUCCCUUCGGGGACAUGGAUACAGGUGGUGCAUGGUUGUCGUCAGCUCGUGUCGUGAGAUGUUGGGUUAAGUCCCGCA
rnacentral:rRNA from 2 species